rnacentral:rRNA from 1 species
GACGAACGCUGGCGGCGUGCUUAACACAUGCCAGUCGAACGGAAAGGCCCUGCUUGCCGGGUACUCGAGUGGCGAACGGGUGAGUAACACGUGGGUGAUCUGCCCUGCACUUCGGGAUAAGCCUGGGAAACUGGGUCUAAUACCGGAUAGGAGCCAUUUUUAGUGUGAUGGUUGGAAAGUUUUUUCGGUGUAGGAUGAGCUCGCGGCCUAUCAGCUUGUUGGUGGGGUAAUGGCCUACCAAGGCGGCGACGGGUAGCCGGCCUGAGAGGGUGGACGGCCACAUUGGGACUGAGAUACGGCCCAGACUCCUACGGGAGGCAGCAGUGGGGAAGAUUGCACAAUGGGCGCAAGCCUGAUGCAGCGACGCCGCGUGGGGGAUGACGGCCUUCGGGUUGUAAACUCCUUUCGCUAGGGACGAAGCUUUUUGUGACGGUACCUAGAGAAGAAGCACCGGCUAACUACGUG